CAGAAAUGGGCGUGCUAUUCCUGGUGGUGUUAUUGUUUGUUGGAGCGAUUGCCCGUCCAGAAAAUGGCAGGCGUUCAGGUCAGCAAGGUCCUGGACCAAGGGGAGGAGUUUCUGGGCCAAUGGGUGGAGGUUCUGGACCAAGGGGAGGAGUUUCUGGGCCAAUGGGUGGAGGUUCUGGACCAAGGGGAGGAGUUUCUGGGCCAAUGGGUGGAGGUUCUGGACCAAGGGGAGGAGUUUCUGGGCCAAUGGGUGGAGGUUCUGGACCAAGGGGAGGAGGUUCUGGGCCUAAGGGAAGACAACCUUGGCCAAAGAAUGAAAGUUCUGAGCUAAUGGGAGGACAUCAUGGGCCAAAGAAUGAAAGUUCUGAGCUAAUGGGAGGACGUCAUGGGCCAAAGAAUGAAGGUUCUGGACGAUUGGAUGGAAGAGGGUCUCAGCCUCCAGUUGAGGAUUUUGGAUCUGUGAGGCCUUCAGAUUACAGAGGACCACAUGGCCGAGGACCACAUGGCCGAGGACCACAUGGCCGAGGACCACAUGGCGGAGGAAGACCAACUCAGUCCAUGCCCAACGUGCGGCUCAUCCCCAUUUUCAAGGUGGACAAUAUAACACUCCAGGGUCUCAAUAUCACUCUGCCCCUGAAAGAGGGAGAAAAUAUUUUCAUCUUACCAAGAACGGACAGGACUGCUCCUCGGGCGUUUGCGGUAUUUGGACUCAUUUCUGUUAUUUAUAACUUUAUAUUCACAUUUCACUCAAAUGUCUGAACUGAUUAAUAAAGCUCUCUAAUUUACAGUAUGGAGGCAUGAUUGGUCCUCAGGUAACACACACACACACACACACACACACACACACACCCCUUUAUUAACACAUUCCUGUCAUUAAUAAACUAACCCCCCCUCCUGUGUUCAGCCCUAUCUGAAGAUCAUCUACAACCCCAGUGCUGCGGUAAUUCACAUUUCAGUUCAUAUUAUCUUUAUUUCAUUUCUGUCACAGCGAAUGAAAAACAAACAGCUUUUCUUUUCCAACAGCAACGGUUCUCAUUUGAAUAUGGAGUUAUUCAACUCCUUCCAUCUUUCCUGAAGGCUGAAUCGGAGAGUAAUGAAGAUACAGCGGUGUAGGAGGAAAGACAAAUCUACAUCAGACAUGGCUUUAAGGGAAAACAGAUGUCCAGAGAUCAUCGAUCACUACAGCGUUAAGGACUUUUAAUGACUUUCGGGAUUAUGUAGGCGUGUGUGUGUAGAUGUUGUGUAAUGUGUGUAGAGGUGUGUGUAGAUGUGUAGAUGUAAAUGUGUGUAGAUGUGUGUGUAGGUGUGUGUGUGCAGGUGUAGUGGGCUUCUUUAUUAAUGAAAUGUCUGUAAUGAUGGAUUUUUGUC
ensembl:lncRNA